rnacentral:lncRNA from 1 species
CAAGCCUGAAGCCUUUGAGAGGGAAAUUCCUUGAGUCAGCCCCGGAGGUUCCAGUGCCAGAGAUUCCUCUUGGAAUCUAGCAAAGAUGGCUUGAAUCCCAGCUUCUCCACUGGCAAGAGACCAGUGUAUACCUCUCCAUUCGUGCACACUCUUCACUCAUCUGUAAAGAUUUAUAGGAAUGGUAAUAGCUAACAUUUAUUGGGCACAUCAUCUGCCAAGCCCCUUUGAUGCAUUAUCUCACUUAAACCUAAAAAAGAACACUAGAAGGCAGUUAUUAUUAUACUCACAUGAUAGAAGAGGACACUUGAACCCUAAAUGAUUACACUGCUUACUGGCCCCUCUCUAGCUAAACAAAUACUAGAGUAGGAUUCACACCUGGGCAGUUUCAGCCCAGAAUCUGGCCUUAAUCACACUCCUUUGCUGUGAAAAUUAAAUGCAGACAAGGCCUGGGAAGCACGUAGCACAGUGCCUGGCACACAGGAAGCAAAAAUGUCAGCGCGCCUUCCCCACCGACAUUCUCCGCCCACAGGUCAGCGCUAGGCCCUCCUAGCUUCGCCUCCAGCAUCUUUCCCGCAGGGGUCUUGCCUGGACUACAACUCCCAGGAUGCAGCAGGCAGAGAAGCUGGCCAAUCCGGUCGCAGAGUCCUGCUUUUCAGAGUCGGCUCCGCCCCACCUGCGGUCAGAGCUCCGGUGACCGUUGGCCCGGCGGGUCCUCGCCCGGUUAGUUCGUGGGCCGGCCAAGGUGGCUCUAAAGUGAGUGCAAUAGGAUAAAUUCCUCCACUCGGGAGAAAGCAGAGGCAAGAAGUUGACUAAACGAUGUUUAAGAAUAAUGUUACUGACCAUAAGCCUAAUGUGGAAACCAUAAUUAAAAACAUUAACACAAUUUCUUUGGAGUUAAAGAAGAUGAAAGAGCUCUCCCAGUUGCUGCUUUGUGACCUUACUCUACAUUUUAAUCAUCCUGUGAAGACGGAUGACUUAAAGGAACCAGAAGGAAAAACCCGCCUCUUUGAAGAGUCUGCAAUAUCAGAUGUGUCCCUUGCCUCUAAUAAUUUUUCUAUCUGAUUUCUUUUUGUUUGUUGUGAAUUUAUAACUGUAUUUAUUGUGGAAUUAACAUGUAUCUGAGAGAAUUGAGUUUACUAAUAUAUUUAAUAUGAUAAACAAAAUAAAAAUAGGAUGAGUUGUAAAUAACCA